UAAAAUUUAGCCAAUGGCUAAAGAGUAAAGUACUACGUAAACCAGUAGAGUACUACGUAGCAGCUCCGUGCCAAAGUUAUAAAAGCAACGAGCGUCUCGGCCACGCCCUGUGGCGAGUGGGAGUUGGAUUUGCAAGUGAGUGUAGGAGGUCAGCGGUAGUUCAGCAUUAGCAUAUAGCAUUAGCAUAUCCUAGUCUUAGCAUAUCUUUUAGUGUUAUAAAUACUUAUUUAGUGUUAGAUUUGGCUGUUUGAUAUUGUACUUUAGUUAGUGUUUGGCUGUUAGUGUAAUUGGGAAAGUAUUUCGGGUUUAGUGCUCCAUAUCGUCUUAGUAUUGGUGAGUAGGUGUAGUGUAGUAUGCUUGCGGUGACUCUGUGGGCAUUUUACCCACGAUUCUGCACGUCUCCGUUUGAAGAGGGAGGCUGCCCACCGUGGCUCUUCUGCGAUUUAGAUGCAGCCCACCGACUCUGCUCCCCCACCACAGUGGGCUCCAGUCUGAGUUGAGUAAGCUAAAUAAACGUUUUAACAUCUUCUAAAGACAAAUCCCUACCUAAAUGCAAAGUUUGAGAGACGUGGUUCACUUCCUUUAGCUAGUCAGUCGGCAAUUCUGCAACAAUGGCUCUAACUGACGCAGCACUUGACAGACAGCAUUACAGCGUGAAUUCCAGCUUGUGAACAGGUUCUGUGAGGAAUUCUGUUCAGGAGGUCGCAUUUCAGGCUCUCCACAUCAUGUGUGACUGACUUUUACGUUAUAAUGAUCACACACUAGGAAUGUUAUAAAGCGCCUAUAUGGGACAGUUUCUUUUGUAUAUUAUCUGACUUUAUAAACUCUCAACAACAAUGUGCUUAUAUAUUUUUUUCAGGCUAAAUCUACCCAAGACACUGGCUGUCAGACUGAUUUAGCUGCAAGAAUGCACUUGUCCAGGCUGACGUGAAACCUUCCCUGUAGCAAAGCCAGCCAGAAUGGAGUUCACAGCCGCAGUGUGUCUGGUGACCCACGGGGACCAUGAUGAAAAUUCAUCUUCCAGCAGGUCCCAGAGCAGCGGCCACACACCCUGAAAAGACCAAGGUGUGAGGUGUCUGCUGUUGAUUCCAGCUUCCACCUCAGUGACGGUGCAAGCUCAGUGAACUGUUCAAGCCUGGCUGAUCACCUGAUAACUCCUGUCAUCUGGUUAUGACAGCAUGAGGAUGUCCUCACACACCUGUAACCUAUCAGCUCAUCUGGCAGAAUAGAGAGAGAAGAGACAACACCACAUCUCCUGUUCCUGGAAAGCCUUCAGCCAUCCUUCGAUGACUGAGAACCUCCAUCAGCUCUGUCUCCUGUCUGCCUACA